rnacentral:rRNA from 1 species
GAUGAACGCUGGCGGCGUGCUUAACACAUGCAAGUCGAACGGAAAGGCCCAAGCUUGCUUGGGUGCUCGAGUGGCGAACGGGUGAGUAACACGUGGGUGAUCUGCCCUGCACUUUGGGAUAAGCCUGGGAAACUGGGUCUAAUACCGGAUAGGACCAUCGUUUAGUGUCGGUGGUGGAAAGUUUUUCGGUGUGGGAUGAGCUCGCGGCCUAUCAGCUUGUUGGUGGGGUAAUGGCCUACCAAGGCGUCGACGGGUAGCCGGCCUGAGAGGGUGUACGGCCACAUUGGGACUGAGAUACGGCCCAGGCUCCUACGGGAGGCAGCAGUGGGGAAUAUUGCACAAUGGGCGCAAGCCUGAUGCAGCGACGCCGCGUGGGGGAGGACGGCCUUCGGGUUGUAAACUCCUUUCGCCAAGGACGAAGCGUUUUGUGACGGUACUUGGAGAAGAAGCACCGGCUAACUACGUG